rnacentral:rRNA from 1 species
AUUGAACGCUGGCGGCAUGCCUUACACAUGCAAGUCGAACGGUAACAGGUCUUCGGAUGCUGACGAGUGGCGAACGGGUGAGUAAUACAUCGGAACGUGCCUAGUAGUGGGGGAUAACUACUCGAAAGAGUGGCUAAUACCGCAUGAGAUCUAUGGAUGAAAGCAGGGGAUCGCAAGACCUUGUGCUACUAGAGCGGCCGAUGGCAGAUUAGGUAGUUGGUGGGAUAAAAGCUUACCAAGCCGACGAUCUGUAGCUGGUCUGAGAGGACGAUCAGCCACACUGGGACUGAGACACGGCCCAGACUCCUACGGGAGGCAGCAGUGGGGAAUUUUGGACGAUGGGCGCAAGCCUGAUCCAGCAAUGCCGCGUGCAGGAUGAAGGCCUUCGGGUUGUAAACUGCUUUUGUACGGAACGAAAAGCCCUGGGUUAAUACCCUGGGGUCAUGACGGUACCGUAAGAAUAAGCACCGGCUAACUACGUGCCAGCCGCCGCAGUAAUAC